UCCAAAUCCAGAACUCAAGGUCCACAGUAUACCUGAAUGAACACAGUACCCCACCUAGGAAUAGCUGGACUAUGAUGGAGAGAAGCAGAAAGAACGUUGAACAAUUCAUGGCUAAGACCUUUCUACUAGGUGUAGGUGAGAGACCACCUUUCCAUCCUUGGGGAGAAAGAAAAGCAACAAAACACGUGCUAAGAUCACCUUCAUCUACCGCAGGAAGCCUUCCCUCUCUCCAUCCAAAACUGCCACCUCUCCACUGCCAAAACACAUCCCAUGACCUGCUAGCAGCUUGUCUAGUGCUCAGUGCAACCAGGUAUGGAGACCAGUGCACACCUAUGGAAGAGCUGAGUGUCCAAAGAGAGUAUCCACACCUUAAACUGUAAGUCCAUUUCAAAAAAAAAAACCCAAAAUACUAUAUUUUUACUGAAACAUAGUAUUUAUACUGAUAGAGUACAUUAUGGUAAAUUAAUAUAUGUUUAAAAGGAGUAGUGUUCAAUGAAAUAAGCAUUUCAAUCUCUUCAACUGUUAGUCAUUUUUAUGUGUUAGGGAUUUUGUGAUAUGCUAAUUAUUUUUAAAUACAUCAUGUUUCACCCAUGGUUCUCUUGUCCUGCUAAAGAAGCAGCAGAGGUGGGAGAGAUUGCUCAGUGGUUAAGAGACUUGCUGUGCAGUCCUGAGGACUGUGGUGUGGGUUCCAGCACCCACAUAACAAGCUACCUCUCCAGCACAUCAUACCUGGAACCCCUGUCUCCAAGGAGGAGAGAGACAGGAGGGUCACUGGGACUUACCAGCAAGGAGCCUAGCAGAGAAAAUGUGAGCCCAGCUUCCAGAAAGAUCCUACCACAAGAAGGAGUAGGUAUGUAAACACUCUUGCAACAUAAACAUUCAAAAAGGACAAUAACUGGGGGGCUGUAGAGAUGGCUCAGCAGGUUAAGAGAACUGACUGCUCUCCCAAAGGUUCUGAGUUCAAAUCCCAGCAACUGCAUGGUGGCUCACAACCAUCCGUAAUGAGAUCUGACACCCCGCUUCUGGUGUGUCAGAACACAGCUACAGUGUACUAACAUAUAAUAAAAAAAUAAAUCUUUUUUUUUUUUUAAGCA
rnacentral:lncRNA from 1 species